GCCGUGUAUGGCUGGGUCUGGAUAACAGAGAGCAGGACCACAACAUGAACAACGCGGGACACAGCAAGAAGACUCUGUUCAAACACGUCAGUGUAACUACAUACACUCACAGUAACUAAAUACACUGGGCUCACGGUAAGUACAACACUUUGACCUAUUUUAUAUUCCUGCUUAUUUUGAGUUUGUGUCCAACACAUUUAUCUGACAGCGGUAGGUUUUUGAAAUAGUACAUAUUAACCUUAUAAAAUAUAACAUAUUAAAAUACAGUACAUUAAAGUACCACACAUAAAUGAGUUAAAAUGAGCUCCACCUCAACCAGAUACAUCAACUAAAUGCUGCUAAUGCAUUUCUUCAUCUACAAUAAUCAUCCAGUGGGGGCUCAACAUGUUACAAAACUCUCAGUUCACACCAGAUCACAGCUUUUGAGCCAGGGAUCUGAACAUUUUUCAUUUCAGCAAGAAAAAUAAAAGGAAAAAGAGGCUGCCAUGACUGUCACUAUCAUCUGCUUUCAGCAUGACCUGUGCAUGUGCACACACAGCUGCUCUGUGUCUUGUCCUCGCAACUCUGUAUUGACAUUUAGAGAACUAUUCCUUUAUUCCUUGCUCAGGCAGUUUGUCUGCAAACAGGUUUAUGCCAAAGCUACCAGGCACAAAUCACUUGCUUUACAAUUGUCAGAUAGGGCAUUACUGAAGGACUGAACUCUACAAGUGCCCUUAAAGUUACUUUAUGAAGCACAAUCAACAGUAAAUCUGUAUUUUACUCUUUGAUUUUACUUUGUAAUCAAUCCACAGUUCACAUGCACACCAAACCGUGGGUGGGAAUGUCUGUGGAUCAUGAAGAAACUACACCAUUAUGAUACAGUGACAUCAUAAUAGUGGCAGGUGUCAUCCUCCAGAUGUCAAUUUCAAAUAAAUCCCAAAUAACAUGAUUUGCUGAAAUUCUUUCUAAAACAAAUCAUAUGGUGACCAAUUCUGUUUAACUCCUCCUCUAUGACUUUUUCUCAUCCUAUCUGUAAUUUUUGUUCAGCACGAGUUAAUUUUGGCAAAGUUUGAUUUAACUGUACAGUUAUGCUGCAUUUAUUGUCUCUCCAAGCUGCAUAUUGGGUUUUGUAGCCAAGAUGCAUUACUACAACUUUCUACUCUCAUUUUCAUACACAUAAGUAUUGGAAAGGGAGCAGCCCGAAAACAGUGAAUACAUUUUUCAGAGCCUUACAGUCUAGUAAAAUGACUUCUAUUAUCAGAAUUUGAUCAAUUUGGUCCAGUAACAUUAGAAAAGUCUAGACAAGGUGAGCUUGGAGCCAACAGGAUGUCAGCCAACUACAGGCCAGAGGGAAUCUUGGUCCCCUGUAGUCUUUCUAUGUACUCCACUGCAAUGGAUACUAAUGAGCAUGCUCAGGGUACCUCGUGGAGGAUGCUUGGACUAAAUUUUAGCAUAUGUACACUACUGUUCAAAAGAUAAGGGUCACUUGGAAAAGUCUUUAUUUUUGAAAGAAAAGCUUUUUUUUCAAUGAAGAUAACAUUAAUCAGCAAUACAGUCUAGACAUUGUUAAUGUGGUAAAUGAUUAUUCUAGCUGGAAAUGGUUGAUUUUUAAUGGAAUGUCUACAUAGACGUACAGAGGCCCAUUGUAAUGUUUACAGAAACAUUUAUUACCAACCGUCAUGCUGUCCCUGAAUGCAUCAUACCUGUAUGUACGCAUGCGCAUAGAGCAGUACCUCAGUAAUGUCCGUGUAAUGGCAGAGAUGACCAGUCUGUCUGCCUGUAUGACACAUAGCAACAUAUACACUCGAUGAGGAUUAAAAAGGGUAGAGGAAAAACGCAAUCCGAGACCGACCAGUAAAAUCCCGAUAAGUUAACCACGCUGGAGGGAAAAGUUUUCACGGAGCUGCCAUGUCACUGACAACUAUGCCCGCAUUGUCUGCGUUUGACACAGAAACAGACCCUAGUUCAGUCGGACUGCGCUGGAACAAAUGGGUGCAGAGGUUUGAGAAUUAUACAACUGCUAUCAAUAUCACAGGAGAUACAAGGCUCAAGGCUUUACUUUUACACUUGGCUGGUGAACGUGUUAAUGACAUAUACGACACGCUAGCGGCAACGACAGACAAGUAUGCAGACAUCAAAGCAAAGCUCGAAACAUAUUUUACGCCAAAGAAAAACUUGCAGUAUGAGGUGUAUACAUUCAGAAAAGCAGUCCAGCUGUCAGGCGAAAAUCUGUACACAUACUGCACAUAACUACGCAUGCUGGCCAAACACUGUGAAUUCUCCGAUGUUAAUUUGGAAAUAAGAGCACAACUGAUUCACAGCUGUACGUCAACAAGGCUUCACAGACGAGCGCUCAGAUAGCCUGGCAUGACCCUAGAAGAAAUGCUCAGCUAUGGGAGAUGAAUAGCAGUAUCAGAACAACAGGCAACCGGCAUGGAACAAGAAGCAGCUGCAGCAGUGAAUGCGGUGCUGCAGAGAGGAUGACCAACUAAAAGCUACAACACUGCCAACCAAUAUGUUGCAACUGUGGUGGGAAAUAUCGACACGAAGGUGAUUGUCCUGGUCCUGCUUGAGGAAAACACUGUAAAGCUUGCGGUAAGCUAAAUCACUUUGCUAGACAGUGUAGGUCAAAGCUAAAACAACAAAAGAGCUAUGAUAAAAAACCAAAGGGCCACAAAAAGCAGCAGCAUAAAGUGCACAAGAAAGUGUAUAAUGUCACCAACUCAACGCACAGUGAAAGUAAGGACUCAUCAAGCAGUGAAGAUAACUGUUUUUGUGACGACCAGCGCUGCCAAAAGAAACACAUCAACAACACAGGUCAAUAUUGAUGGUGUCGACAUCUAAGUGGUUAUAGAUUCAGGUGCCACAGUAAAUGUCGUAAGUGAAUCUGCCCUCAACAUGCUGUCACCACAGCCACAGUUAGUGCCGGCUGACACUAACAUUUUCCCUUAUGGCUGUACCACUCCACUCUCACUGGCAGGCAUGUUUACAUGUGAAACAGCAGUAAACAACAAAAAGACAUUGUGUAAGUUUUACAUGAAAAGUGGCAAAGGCUGUUCUCUGCUGGGUUAUGACACAGCUACACAGUUAGGUCUUAUUUAAGUCAUCAAUACUGUGUGAACAGGGAAUAGGAAAGUUAAAGGACUUUCAAGUCAAACUUCACAUUGACACCACUGUUCAGCCUACAUGUCAACCACAUAGGCAUGUGCCAUUUCACAUCCGUCAAAAAGUGGAAAAAGAGCUAGAAAAGCUUGAACAAUGUGACAUUAGAGGCUGUUACAGGCCCAACGCCAUGGGUUUCACCGAUAGUGACUCCACCCAAACCCAAGAACCCAAGCGAGGUUAGAAUCUGUGUAGAUAUGAGACAAGCUAAUACUGCAAUACAGUCGUGAGCGUCAUAUCACUAUGGAGACGUCAUCCACGAGCUCAGUGGAGCCAGUCUUCUCCAAGCUUGACUUAAGAGCUGGAUAUCACCAGUUGGAGCUCCACCUUGACAGCAGGUAUAUCAUAACCUUCAGUACUCACAAAGGCCUGUGCAGAUACAAACAUCUCAACUUAAGAAUUUCUUCAGCAGCAGAAGUAUUUCAAAAUGCCAUUUGCCAAGCAGUACAAGGAAUUGACGGUGUAAAGAACCUCAGUGAUGACAUAAUCAUGCAUGGUAAAACACAAGCUUACCAUGAUAAAUGCCUCACAGCAGUGUUUCAGAGACUCAAAGAAAAAGGCCUCACCCUCAACAAAGACAAAUGUGAGUUCAACAAGUCCAGACUGGAGUUUUUCGGAUUCAUUUUCCAAGCAGGCGGGAUUUCAGCUGACCCCAAAAAGAUCACAAGGCACUGGAAGUGAUCUGGAACAACCCCCGCUCCAAACCGCCCGUAAGGAUUGAACGUUGGGGUUUGAGACUACAGCACUGCGAUCUCAAAGCAGUCUACAGGAAAGGAGCUGAAAAUCCAGCAGACUACAUUUCCAGGCAUCCAGUAUCUACACAACAUGGAGUACACACCCGAGCGACAAAGGUAACUGAAGAAUACGUCAACUUCAUGGCACAACAUGCCACACCCAAAGCAAUGACUGUCUGAAAUCCAAGAGGAAACCCUCAAAGACCCUCUUCUGCAAAAGGUCAGUGCGCAUGUAAGGAACAACACAUGGCACGUUAUCACUAAAGAUUCACAAGACGCCACUGCCCUACAAAAGUAUAAACAAAUCAGCAAUGAACUGACUGUAUCACCUACUGAUGACAUACUACUUCGGGGCAUCAGGAUUAUCAUCCCCUCAGCCCUAGAGGACAAAGUGUUGCAGUUAGCCCAUGAACGACAUCAGGGCAUUGUGAAAACAAAGACAUUACUCAGGUCAAAAGUUUGGUUUCCAAAUGUAGACCAAAAAGCAGAGCUCGUGGUCAAGAACUGUUUAGCAUGUCAAGCCAACACUCCGGUGACACAACUCGAGCCUCUAAAAAUGUCAGAGUUACCAGAAUCACCAUGGUAGACUUCUACGGCCCAUUCCCAACUGGAGAGUACUUGUUAGUUGUCAUUGAUGAGUUCACAUGCUACCCAGUUGUUGAAGCUUUGAGAUCCACCUCAGCUAAUACAGUGAUCCCAGUCAUGAAUAAGACAUUCUCAAUGUUUGGUAUUCCCAGAGUACUCAAAACGGACAAUGGACCUCCUUUUAAUAGUGAGCAGUUCUCCAAGUUGUUAUCACAUAUGGGAUGCCGCCACAGAAAGAUUAUGCCACUAUGGCCCCAAGCAAACGCAACAGCAGAGCGCUUCAUGCGGACACUUGGAAAAGCUAUAUGUGUAGCAGAGUCAGAGUGUCCCUUGGAAACAAACGCUCAACACGUUUCUUCUUGAGUACCGCUCUACACCACACAGUACCACUGAAGCGUCACCUGCAGAGCUCAUGUUCCAACGUAAAAUCUACACAAGGAUUCCUGCACUACCCAGUGUUGUGCAAAACAAUGCUGACCGUGUGAUCAGAGAGCGUGAUAAACAAGCAAAGACUAAGAUGAAACAAAAUGUAGAUGCACGUCAUCACGCAAAGUCCAGCUCUCUCACUGUUGGUGACACAGUCCUGCAUCGUCAGUCAAAACACAACAAGCUGACGUCAUCUUACAACUGUGACCCCCACACCAUAACUGACAUCAAUGGCUCCAUGGUCACUGCCACAGCAAUAAGAGACACUCCAUCACAAGGAACUCAUCCUUCUUCAGAAAGAUAAACACCAACGCUCAAUGUCCCAAGAUGACGGCAGUACUAUAACAGUUCCAAGAUACCCUCAGAGGUGAUGUAGACGCCGCCCAGUUUAUCUGAAUGACUGUGAUGACUCAGGUUGAGAAUGUGUUUGCCCAUUUCAGACACUAUUUCAAUGAGUUCACUUACGGCUAAAAAAAAGAGAUUUGUUUGCACAAUCUGUUUUGCACUUUUUGCAAUAUCAAAUGCUACUUGUUUGUUGGCAGCUACUGAUUAGUGUUUAAAAAUGUAUACAUUCUAAUAGCAAUGCAUUUUCUAAAAGUGUGUUUGAACAGUUAUAAGCGAUAUGUUGUUUACCUAACAAAAACAUGUUUUGAAUAACUAAGAACUAGUUUACCACCAUUGCCAUUUUGUUAAAAGAAAAAAAAAGGAGUGAUGUAAUGUUUACAGAAACAUUUAUUACCAGCUGUCAUACUGUCCCUGAAUGCAUCAUACCUGUAUGUACGCAUGCGCAUAGAGCAGUACCUCAGUAAUGCCCGUGUAAUGUCAGAGAUGACCAGUCUGUCUGCCUGUAUGACACAUAGCAAUGUGCAGUAAAGUUACGACACUCCAUCCAGCCAUCUCUCAUGCAAUGCACAUCAUGGGUUUUUUUUUUCUUUUUUCUUUUUUUAAUGGUUUCCAGGAAUCUAAUGAUAUUGCGGUGUACUGUUCCCCAGCUACACUAGGAUGGAGCUCCUCUAAUCCCACAAUCAAACAUCUGUUCUGUUGCCUGUCAACAUUUGGUGUUUACGUGGCAUUGUGUGAUUGUAGUUUUUAAUUUUGUGGUGCACACACCACACCCAUUUCCAGCAACCAUCACUGCUCUGAUCUAAUGGUACAUUGUGUUUGCUAAUCAUGUUAAAAGGCUAAUUGAUGAUUAGAAAACCCUUGUGCAAUUAUGUUAGCACAUGAAUAAAAGUAUGACCUUUCAUGGAAAACAUGAAA